rnacentral:rRNA from 1 species
UACCUGCAGCUCUAGUGGUGAUCGUUAUUAUUGGGCCUAAAACGUCCGUAGCCGGUUUAAUAAAUGCCUGGGUAAAUCGUGUAGCUUAACUAUACGAAUUCCGGGUAGACUGCUAAACUUGAGACCGGGAGAGGCUAGAGGUACUCCUGGGGUAGAGGUGAAAUUCUGUAAUCCUAGGGGGACCACCAGUGGCGAAGGCGUCUAGCCAGAACGGGUCUGACGGUGAGGGACGAAGCCCUGGGGCACAAACCGGAUUAGAUACCCGGGUAGUCCAGGGUGUAAACGCUGCUUGCUUGAUGUUAGCUGGGCUCCGAGCCCGGCUAGUGUCGGAGAGAAGUUGUUAAGCAAGCUAUCUGGGAAGUACGGUCGCAAGACUGAAACUUAAAGGAAUUGGGCGGGGGAGCACAGCAACGGGUGGAGCGUGCGGUUU